CUAGGCUAGUGACUUCCA
rnacentral:siRNA from 1 species